UACGUAUGGUGCAAGCGUUAUCCGGAAUUACUGGGCGUAAAGGGUGAGUAGGCGGUUCGAUAAGUCACAUGUGAAAAUCCGGGGCUCAACCUCGGACGUGCAUGAGAAACUAUCGGACUAGAGUACAGGAGAGGUAAGCGGAAUUCCCAGUGUAGCGGUGAAAUGCGUAGAUAUUGGGAAGAACACCAGUGGCGAAGGCGGCUUACUGGACUGAAACUGACGCUGAAUCACGAAAGCGUGGGGAGCAAACAGG
rnacentral:rRNA from 1 species